CUGCUGACCCUUGUUGUGGACGGACUGCCGAUGCAGAAAUUAGGGUAAGUUGUUCUUGUAGCUGUUGAAGUCUUGGUGAAGUGGUGAAGGUCCAUUUGAGGACUACCUUGGGAGUUAUCGAGCAGAGGUUGUUGGAUUGGGAGCUACUGAAUUUCUGUUAAAACCUCAUGGACUCUAUUUCGAGGCGGGCA